AUGGACGCGGCGAUGGAGGACGCGGCGGCGCCCGGGAGCGAGUGGGACCGCGGCAGCGGCGGGGCUGAGGCGGUGCUGGGCCUCGCCGGCGCCGGCGCCUCGCUGUCGGUGUGCUACCACGAGGCCUUCGGGCCCCACGCCGACCUCAUCCUCCUCGAGGCCGGCGACGACCUCCUCCCCGACCUCCUGCAAGGCCGGGUGACAGUAAGGGGCCGCCCUGAAGAAGAAGCUGUUCUGUGCACGCCAUCGGCGACCUACGCUAUGAAGUUCGUGGGCACAUCCAACUCCAUGUUCCUGAUACCACCCGGCGAAGCAGUCGCGGCAAGCCUAAGACCCGACCAUACCAAUGAGGAUGCUACCGUCGCCAGCGCUGCGGCCGCUUCGAUCAUCAAGGUUGCACCGGGGAGCAUCGAAUUAGUCCGAACGGCUCCGCGGCUCGACAAGCUCAGGAGCCUUCUCAGGGAGAGGCCAUACGUGCUUGAUGAGGAUCUUGGAGAUGGCUCUGAAGAUAAGCAGGGGCUGUACACGUGGCAAGACCUAUGUGUGCUUGUUCAGUCCAGCGACAGCGAGCUGCUGGAGGGGCUGAAUUCCCUCUCGGCUGUCGAGAUUGAUGGGUUCUGGAGGACCGUGGAUGUCGGUUCUGUGAACACGGUUCUGGACAUGAUUCUGCACAACUCUGUGUUGCAUGAUUGGCUGCUAAAUGCUUUGCCAGAAAAUGCUGUGCUAUCUGUCAUGGAAGCUGACGGUUUUACGCAUAAGAUUGUAGCUCAUUGCCUCAGCAGAUUCGGCACGAAGGUUGAGCAGGAAGCAGGGAGUUGUUGGAAGCUUGAUGAGAGACUGGUCUGCUUGCAGUUUGCCCGAAGAGCACUCGCCGCAGGAAAGAUGAAGCUCAACAACUUUAUGGAUAAAUGGGAACGAAGCAUCCCUUCAGGAAUGCGUGCGGAUCUUCAGAUGCUUGAAGGGGAAGUGCUGUAUGAAAGGCUUGGGGCUGAGACCUGGGUGCAUGCUUUCAGUGUCGCCGAUCUGCCGUUGACGCCAGCUGAGAGGUUUGCAGCACUAUUCCGGGAGCGGCCAAGGUGGGAAUGGAAAGACCUGCAGCCCUUCAUCAGGGACUUGCGUGUACCUGGAGCGUCUUCAGAAGGGUUGCUGAUCAAAUACGCAAGAAGAACGCAACCAAGCGCUGAUUCCGAUCCUAUUUUCACCGCUAGAUGA
rnacentral:rRNA from 1 species